AGUCCACAUUCUUCCACACGGAGCCUGCCAGAGGGGCGUGCUCGUCCAAAGUCGGUCUUUUCACACCAGCAGGGACACUGUUCACCUACAGAGAUUCACCAUGGCUUCAGCACUGCACUGCAAAUCCUUUACGUUGUGUCUUAUUUAUAUGUCGCUGCUGUUCGCCGGCGCGUUUUGCGACGCCGAUGUAGAAGAAGAUGAGCAUGCCAAGCACACAUACACUGUGGAGAUGUUCACUGAGGCGGUGCCCACUGCACCCCACUUUGUCAUGUUUUACGCCCCGUGGUGCGGCCAUUGUCAGAGAUUACAGCCAACAUGGAAUGAAUUGGCAGACAAAUACAACAGCAUGGAUGAGCCCCCCGUGUAUGUGGUAAAAGUAGACUGCGUCCAGGACACCAAGUUCUGCUCCAAUGUCCAUGGGGUUCGAGGAUACCCUACGUUGAAGUUGUUUAAGCCCGAUCAGGAAGCAGUUAAAUACCAGGGUCCCAGAGAUCUGCAGUCUCUGGAGACCUGGAUGCUAAAGACACUCCAGGAUGAGCCUUCUGAACCAGAGACUGAGCUGGAGCCUCCUAAAGCCCCAGAGCCCAAACAGGGCAUGUAUGAGCUCACUGCCCUCAACUUUAAGACCCAUAUAACCAAAGGUGCACACUUUGUUAAGUUCUUCGCGCCCUGGUGUGGCCACUGCAAAGCCAUGGCUCCAACCUGGGAACAGCUGGCCACUACCUUUGAACACUCUGAUAACGUAAAGAUAGGAAAGGUGGACUGUACGCAGCACUAUGAGGUGUGCUCUGAGAACGGUGUGAGAGGAUAUCCCACGCUGCUCUUCUUCUACAAUGGACAGAAGACAGAACAAUACAAAGGAAAAAGAGACCUGGAAUCUUUCAAAGACUUUGUCGACAAUCAGCUGAAGGCUGCACUCACUGAAGAGCAAGGGCAGGAACCAAAUAAGGAACAAAAAGCAAAUGAGAUCCCCAGUGAUGAGCCAGCCAAAGAGGAAGAAAAGUCCAGCGUGUUGGUCCUGACUGAGACCAACUUUGACGAGGCAGUAGCCAAGGGCUUGACCUUCAUCAAAUUCUACGCUCCCUGGUGCGGUCACUGUAAGAAUCUCGCUCCAACAUGGGAGGAUCUUUCCAAGAAGGAGUUUCCUGGCCUCACUGAUGUCAAGAUUGCCAAGGUGGACUGCACUGUCGAGCGCACGCUCUGCAACAAAUACUCUGUGCGAGGUUACCCCACCUUGAUUAUCUUCAGAGCCGGGGAGCAGGGAGACGAGCAUCACGGUGGGCGCGACAUGGAGAGUCUGCACAACUUUGUGAUGAGGCAGGCGAGAGACGAGCUGUAGAAACAGGGAAGUCAGCGCUCACUCUCCACCACUCUACUCGCCCACACUGCAUAGAUAUGCAGUGUGGGCCACCACUCUCUCUCCUACGGUGGCCAAAACCUCUUUAUAUCUCUGUCUCCACUCGGGUGCUGUUUAGGAAGGAGUCAGCCAACAACAGACUGAUGCAGUCGGUCCAUUAAUAAAGGACAGAAUAACUCGGUAGAGUGUUUGGAAUGUGAAUGUAUUUCUCAUUGCUGUUGCCCGACCUUAAAUCUUCUGCAGAUUGUAUGUUAUUGGUUGGGUGUACAAACAAAGUUAUAUGUCUGACAACCACUUUACAAGCACUGCUCAACCUAUCAGAACCAGAACUCCUCGCACAGAUAUCAAACUAUGUUGUUUAUUAAAAGGGCGGCACUAAAGUUUCUGCCUGUUUCAAAUAAAAAAAAUCUAUUGUUUCUGACUUUUUUUUAAAUUUUAAAUGUGAAAUCUGUUGUUAAAUCGUAAGCCAUUAAUGUUACUGUACUGUCACUCAAAAAGCUGCAAAGGUUGUGGCACCCCAAUGUGAAGUUGAGUGUUAAGAUGAAGGUACUUCAUAUCCAUGCCAGCGAUGGCUCAUCUGACUUAACUCUCAGGGAAACACCCAUUCAGACUAGAAGAAGUUGUGAUGGUGACAUUGUUAUCACAGGAGUCUGAUCAUGGCUCAUGGACAUUACAUUAUUUUCUAUUAACAAUCCUGACCAGACUUUGAAAGAGUUCUUGUAAGAAUCUCAGUCCUACAUCCUACAUCAUUUCUUACUCCUGUGAUCUUAAUCAGCCACCCUUCUCUUCUUCUAGUAUUCAGAGUCUCAGGCCUGGACCAUUUUGCCCCAUUUCUCUAUUACUGAACUGCUUCUGUUUAGUUUUCCUGUUGUUCAGACUGCUCAUGUUGGAUGGCUUCAUAUGGAGGGCUCCACACUAACUUUAUGAACAGGUAGCACGAAUACUCAUUACUAAAAAAGCAAAAACAAAUUAACAGCACUACUAAAUUAAUGGCAACAGCUUCAUAUUUUUUACAUCUUAAUUAUAAUACAAAUAAAUGCUUUGGUAAUAAAUGACAAACUUCCAGAAAUAACAGUACUUACCUGGAUGCCUCCCGUGCCUGUGGCACAUUUGCACAAGAUAAUCAAAGUCAGUGUUUCACUGACAUUAUCUCCGGCUGUGACGUCAGUGGGCUGCAACAUUAGGACUGUUGAGUCUUUCUAAAAGACGGCAGAAUAUUUCUUUCUUCCAUGCUUGUUCCUCCUCUGAUGGAUUUAAGUUCGCUCCUCCUGUGAAUGCUAUGUAGCGACAUGAAUCUCCUAAAUUUCCACCCAAAAUGCUCCAAACUUUUAUUCAUAAUUGCUAACAUACAAAAUUCUCAAGCAGGUUAGAGGCCAAAAAAAAAGAUGUGGAGAAAAGUAAAAACCUUGUAGAUUUGGGGACAGUUGGAUCACUUAAAGCCAGUUUUGAGGAGUAAAGCACCGUCAUACAACUGUCACAUCACCUUUCUGACGAUGAUUGUCAUUUGUUCUUAGCUUAGCGAUUGAACAAGUUGCAUGUGUGGGUCAGAUUUUCGUGGUCCCACUAAAUAUAUCUGGAUGAUUUACCGUCUGAUGGUAGAAAACCGUGUUUUGUCAGACUAACUAGUUGAGGCACUUAAAAUACUGGACUGAAUAAAGCUCUGUGGAAGGUGGAGGGCUAAACUCCAGCUGUACCAGGUGCUGAUUCGCUUUCAGUAAAAUGAUUUAGAAUGAGAGGCUCUGUUUGCUAAAGUUGGCUCAUCUGGUUUUAAUUUCCUAUUUAGAACUGUACACACCGAUUGGAUGAAUCAAACUAAAACCACAAAUCCAGACUGUACAGGACAUUGUUUUGUUUAUUUUUUUCUUUUGGAGAUUCAAAGGCCAAGAAUAAGUCAUAAACCUGAGUGUAAAAGCAUUUGCAGUUUUGUCAAUUAAAGCUUUUUUUUUUUAAACUUCUUUGAUAACCCACGGUGUAGUAAACUGCAGCCACCUGUCAGGCCAUGCACAUUCCACUGCAAAUGCUCUUUGACCCAGGUUAUGUGACAAGUAUGUUCCACAUGAUGCAGGGCACCAUUUAUUGUCUAACCCAGGUACACAAACAGUGAGAGACACAGCAGUUUUGUUUUGUUUUUUGUCAGUAAAAGUUUUCAUGGACAGCACAUGGUCAAAAGAACUCCAGUGACGGAAGUAUUUUAUUUCCUUUUCAUGGGUCGUGGGUUGUGCACCACCCAUAGAUUUUGUACAAAAAGAGUGAAUAAUGGCAAGUUGUAACAUGAGAUUUCGUAAUAAAUUUUUUUCAAAAAU